CAGUGAGGGAGACCCCCUCUCAGGGAAAGAUGAGAAGCCAGAGGACUAUGACGAUGCGUUUCCUGUAGAGAAGAGUGCAGGAGGUUUGUCAGAGAAGCUGUCUACAGAAGACACACCAGAGGACUAUGAUGAUGUUACCAUGGGACAGAAUCCAGGUUCCAGACUGAUGGGGACAGAAGAAACAGUGGAGGACUAUGAUGAUGUUGUGAGUGUAGAACAGAGUCCACUUGUGUUACCAGGAAAGAGAGCAUUGACCACACUGCCCCCUGUGGAGGGACCCCCUGCUCCUGACCCCACUGACUAUGAUGAUGUAGAGGAUGGGGGAUCCUCUGCAGUUCUGGAAUCAAUGUGUGACUGACAGUCCAGUCUGAAGGUCCUUGUGCCCAAAGCUUCAAACCAGCUCAUUAAAAUUAUGCAUAUAA